rnacentral:rRNA from 1 species
UACGAAGGGGGCUAGCGUUGCUCGGAAUCACUGGGCGUAAAGCGCACGUAGGCGGAUCUUUAAGUCAGGGGUGAAAUCCCAAGGCUCAACCUUGGAACUGCCUUUGAUACUGGGGAUCUCGAGUCCGGAAGAGGUUGGUGGAACUGCGAGUGUAGAGGUGAAAUUCGUAGAUAUUCGCAAGAACACCAGUGGCGAAGGCGGCUCACUGGCCCGAUACUGACGCUGAGGCACGAAAGCGUGGGGAGCGAACAGG